ACCCGUUCCUGCCCUGUGGCUGCUGUUGCCUGUAUCUGCCUUAGCUUUGCUUUGGCUGUUUCUAUUUUGUGUUGUUACUGCACGCAGCUACGUGGAAAGGGAAAGACAGAACGAAUGCUCUCUUAGAUUAAUGGCCACGGCUGAGGUUGAAGAGAGUAAAAAACGUGAGCAAGCUGAAGUAAUAGAAUCCAAGGGAGCCAAGUGAAAGCUGUCUUCCUCUGCCAGAAAAAGGGAAAGCCCGUUCCUCCUGGCAAGGAAGGAGCGCCAUUAAUAGCGAUCCGAAUAAUAGAUCGCCAGCGUAUAACGGAAGGUCUGUAUGCAUUACGAGAAGUGCUCUGCGUACAUGUGUCUCCAUGUGUGUGACUUUACGUGCCUGUGAAGCGUCAUACUUCACGAGCUGCGAGACAGCAAAUUAUUAUUUUGGGGGAGUGGUGGUCAAGUGACCAGAGCUACUGAAGAGGAAGGGAGCGAGAGAAGGGUCUGAAGUGUAAAACUGAGAGAUCGAUUUCAGGAAGGCUCAAUCAGCGCAAGCCCCGGGUUAGUUACCUGGCAAUGGUAUUUGGGGAGACGGGAUGACAGUAGAUAGGUUGAAGCCUCAUGGAAUUAAGGCUCCUUCUCACCGGUUCCCGCUUAGAGCAAUUGUAGGAGGAUUUAGUUUCCUCCAGCAGCAUUAAGGUGGCUUUGCCGGUGUCAGCAGACCGCGGUGGAAAGUACUGGGAGGGAGUCGGGAAGGGAGCUGGGACGAGGAACGUGACUCUGCUUUCACUGAACUGGAAGAAGUGGCUAUAAAACCUCCUGCCCUCAAAUUCCCAGGACAAGGAAAGCCUUUUUCAGUAAUGCUUUCCACAUCUGCUGACUGCGUGGGAGCAGCACCGCUAGAAAACGGCAGUAAAGGAAAGCGGGUGCCGGUCGCCUCACCUGUACGUCCCCUUUGGGGCUGGAACAAAAAGUCUCUGGCUGUGAGAAAGACUGUUCAGCAGCGAUGUGGGCUGUAACCGUCUUUGAGACUUUUAGCUUUGAUCGCGCAGGGGCCAUCCAAUCUAUUCAGUUCCCUCUAAAGUAAUCACAUCAGGGAAAUAAAGAGACAGCGGAGUAUCAUCUAUCCGAGUGGCGCAGUGGGCGCUGAUCUUAACGAGCAGGGGCAGGGGGGCAGUUGCUGUGCAAGUGUUACAAGCAGUGGCUCUUCUUGUGCGCGUCUGAAUUGACUGAGGGGCAGAGCACGGUUGCGCCAAAAACGCGGACGCAGGAGGUUUCCGAGAGGUUGAUCUCUAGCGGCUACUUAGUCUGACUUCCCUUUCGCGGCAAGCCUGACUGUCUUCAUAGCUCUCAGAACAGGGGUUAGGGGAAGCGGUACUUGUGGCUUGCGUAUUCUUGUUUACCUUGCUUGAGUGUGUAUAUUGGAUCCGCUUUUGUGCUUAUAAACAACUUUGGAUUCUUAUGAUUUUCUGCAGAGCUUUGAUCUUUUUCUUUUUUUCUUUUUCUUCUUGGUUUGUUUUUUUUUUUUUUUGCUUUCCUCCCUCCCUGAUGGAUUUUACUAUGCCUCCGUCAACGAGCCCUGGCUGGCAAAGUUGCUGUGUCCCAGCGGAGACUCUUAGGCGAGAUGGAGGAGUUCAGAUCCGCAGCCUGCCAGAAGAACGUCGCCCAGGAGGGGUUGCUAGCCUCGAGCUAUAGGCACUGGUGCGUGUGGCUCGUUGUGUCAGACGCGAAGGGGUUUUCUUUGGCUGCGGAAAUUUUAGCUUGCCUUUACACCCUGUAGCAGUAGUAUUUUUGUUUUGAUAAACUGUGUUAAUCGUAGGCGUUCAGGACCUCGGGGAACGACUGUGUGCUGCCGUGAAGAACUACAGGCUACCACCGCUCUCGGACCUUUGUAAGUUAUCACGCAUCGAGAGCUUCCAGGAGAAUUCAAAUGCCAGCAGAAAGGUUCUCCGCCCGGUCCCGACGAGGAGGCUUCGGCCCCAGGAAGGUCGGCAGCGUCCUUACCGGACUCGCGGGAUGCUGUUCUGAGGGCCAGCAACUCGAAGGGAUGCAGCUCGGCCCUUUUUGUUGACUUUGGUGAUGCUGUUUUGAGGAAGCAUGUGCCGAAGCCCAGUCGGGCAGUCGAAGGAGCCUUGUCACAGCUGGGAGCUCUGCGGAGAUGCGCGGCUGGCCAUGGAGAGUGAGCUCUGACUUGCAGCGUGGACACAGCUAAGUCCUGGGCUGCAUCGUAUGUGAGCAGUGCUGGGAGGUGCGAGGUGAUUGUUCCCUAGGUGGUCACUGGUGUCACUGGCUGUGGAUGUUUGCCCAUGGAGCUGAGAGGACCAAAAAUAUUAAUUGUCUGACCCGGAGAUGAAUUAGUGCUUGCAGUGCUUCAGGUAGGUUCAGUGCAAGUGCAGCCUAGUGCAGUCCUGUGGAGUGAUUCUUGCACAUGCUCACAUUUGAAUGGUGGCUAAAACCAAGCCUCUAAACAGCAGCUGUAACGUGAUUCUGGUGCAUGUCUUCCCGUUCUGCUGUGCUUCUAGAGGAAGGGAAAACUUCUUAAGCUGUGGGCAAAACUCCUUGCCUUCUCUUUACUGUUUUCAUGUGUAUGGGUGCUUUGGUGUUUGUUGCUUAAAGCUGAGGGUUUGGAAUUUUUCACUUAAGGUUUAUUGUUUAGUUUGUUGUUGAGGGUCUCUCACUCCGGAGUUACAGUUUAUUCCUUUCUUUUGUGGGGCUCAGUCUUUAUCAGUCAGGGUUUACAGUUUGCUCGUUUAGUGAUCAGGGCGCAGAAUUUAAAAUCCAACCUUAGCCAUAAAUUUUAAAGUCUCGGCAACUAUUAGGGUUCCAAGACCUGCAGUUAGUGUUCAGGGCUUAUGACUUACUGAUAAAGGAAAAGGGCUAAAUCCUUAGAUAAACUGUAAGCCCUGAAGCCUAAGCAGCAGGCUGCAAACCCUUCUUUGGGCUUUGUAACCUUCCCCUGUACCCAGCGUUCAGCUCUGCACACCGACCUGCGCUCUGGAUUUGAUAUGGCGCAGGCCCAUCACACGGAGACUGGCAAUGUGACAGGUGAGCUGAGAGCUGUGGAAGUGUCUUGCAGGGCUCUAGCCUGGGGUAGGGCAGAAGUGCAGACAGGCAAGAUCAGGCAUUUUCCUCUCAUCUCUGAGAUGAAUCCUAUCCCUGAAGGAAAAAGCAGAGGAGUAGGCUGUCAGCUACUCGGACACCUGCCACAUCAAGGGCAGCAGCAGGAGAUGACCCUUCCCUGAUGGAUGGAUGGACGCUGGUGUAGUGAUGACUCUUCAGGCAUCACAGGUAAGGGGAAGCAUGCUGACACUGAGCUCCAUGGCAGACUUGCUUCCAGCUAUUGUUUCUGCGCAGUAAAACAAUAAACAGUUGCUUUAUUCUUUGCA